GUAUGUGUUUGGUGAAAAGA
rnacentral:miRNA from 1 species